GAGGUGCAAGCACUCCUCCUUUUCUCCCUUGACUUUUCCUUCUUGGAACUAUUUUAUUUGGAAGAGAGAGUGGGGUGCACGCCACCUUUGCAUGAGAUCCAGAGGGAGCACAUGCCCUUUCUUCUUUUGGUAGGUUCUAGGGGUGCAUGCCCUUGGAAUUCAUGUGGGGUGAGAGGGGCACAUGCCCCUCUAUGGUUUCUGCAUAAGGAGAAGGGAGAUAGGGCACACGCCUCCUCUCUUUCUUGCAUGGAUAAGAACAAGAUUUGGUGCCCCCUCUGAUUUUUCUAUUUUGGAAGAUUGGAUUCCUUAUGGGCUUGAUUUUCUUGGGAAGAAAAUUAGCUAAUAAGGUGUUAGUCUUUAUAUGAUAAAGACUUGCCUAUUAACCCAAUUGGAUUUUGGAUUAGACUCAAAAAUGAAUAGAUCUAUUUAAGAGGCUCUUCUCCUAGGGGCUUGGUGAAUCACAAAUUUAGAAUUUAUGCUCUUACCCUAUCUCCAUGCCUCCUCUCCCUCUCCUCUAUAUUACACACCUAUGGUAGUUGGGCAUCCCAAUCUCCACAAGCCUAAAGUAGUUAGGCAAACACUAUUUCAUGCCAAAAAAAAAGAAAGCAUGAACUCAAGCAUUGAGAUCAUGAGGAAGAAGAUCAAGAGUUGAUCUAGGAUCCAUAAAGGCUGCAGAUCAUCUUAGAGAAGAUAGAUCUACCACAAAAAGGAUGAUCCAAGGUUGAUUAUGGUGGAUACAUGUAGAGAUCGGACACAUGCACUGCUCAACAGCAAACCUCCUUAGAUCCACGAUAAUCAAAUUACGGUGUUCAUCUACUCGCAUAAAGGAUAAUGAGAUUAUCACAUUCUCUUUUGUAUGCUGAUUUUUGCUUUAAUUUUCUGAUUUAGAUCAAUGUG
rnacentral:lncRNA from 1 species